rnacentral:rRNA from 1 species
AGAGUUUGAUCCUGGCUCAGAGUGAACGCUGGCGGCGUGCCUAACACAUGCAAGUCGAACGAGAACGGAUAUAAGUUUACUUAUAUUGUCAGCUAAGUGGCGCACGGGUGAGUAAUAUAUAGUUAAUCUGCCCUGAAGAAGAGAAUAAUUGUUGGAAACGACUUGUAACGCUCUAUAUGCCUUUAUCACAUAAGUGAGCAAGGGAAAUAUUUAUAGCUUCGGGAUGAGACUGUACGGUAUCAGCUAGUUGGUGAGGUAAUGGCUCACCAAGGCUAUGACAUCUAACUGGUUUGAGAGGAUGAUCAGUCACACUGGAACUGAGACACGGCCCAGACUCCUACGGGAGGCAGCAGUGGGGAAUAUUGCACAAUGGAGGAAACUCUGAUGCAGCAACGCCGCGUGGAGGAUGACACAUUUCGGUGCGUAAACUCCUUUUAUUAGGGAAGAUAAUGACGGUACCUAAUGAAUAAGCACCGGCUAACUCCGUGCCAGCAGCCGCGGUAAUACGGGGGGUGCAAGCGUUACUCGGAAUCACUGGGCGUAAAGAGGAUGUAGGCUGGUUUGUAAGUUGGAAGUGAAAUCCUAUGGCUCAA